rnacentral:rRNA from 1 species
CCUACGGGAGGCUGCAGUGAGGAAUAUUGGUCAAUGGGCUUACGCCUGACCCAGCCAAGUCGCGUGAGGGAUGACUGCCCUCUGGGUUGUAAACCUCUUUUGUCAGGGAGCAACGCCGGCUACGUGUAGACGGACUGAGCGUACCUGAAGAAAAAGCAUCGGCUAACUCCGUGCCAGCAGCCGCGGUAAUACGGAGGAUGAGAGCGUUAUACGGAUUUAUUGGGUUUAUAGGGUGCGUAGGCGGAAUGCCAAGUCAGCGGUAAAAUCGCAGGGCUCAACCUCGCUCCGCCGUUGAAACUGGCGGUCUUGAGUGGGCGAGAAGUAUGCGGAAUGCGUGGUGUAGCGGUGGAAUGCAUAGAUAUCACGCAGAACUCCGAUUGCGAAGGCAGCAUACCGGCGCCCAACUGACGCUGAAGCACGAAAGCGUGGGUAUCGAACAGGAUUAGAUACCCCAGUAGUC